UGGCUACUCUACACAUGAUCAAAUGAGAGAACUCUCUCUCUCUCUCUCACACCCUCUCUAGACUAGGGUUCAGGAUCUAAGGAAGAAGAAUGAUGAGGAUCUCUUCAUAUAUGUAUGGAUCACUAGGCACUCAUGUGGGGACUCAUUUAGGAUGCUUUGGGACAAGAUUUUCAAGGCUUAGGUUGUUGCACAUGAUCUUGGACUCGGCAAGGCACUUGAAGGGAGGUGAUUGUGUCCCUGCUGGACCUAAGGUGAGAAGACUGGUCACUGUAACAUAGGGUGUGCGUUUGAGUGUACAAGGUUUCUAUAUGUGUGAUUUAAUGGUUAUAAUUGUUCAUGUAGCGUCCCAAAGUAGCGUCCCAAAUUUUCUAAUAAGGCUUAGGGUCUUGAUUAGCGUGCUGGGAGGGCAAUAAUUGAUUUAAUUAUGCUAAUAUGUGAAUUAAAUGAUUAUGUGAUUAGAAAUGUAUGUGUUAGGUGAAUUAAAUUUGCAUGUGGGCCCCAUUUGAUUGUUAGGGGCAUAUUUGUAAUUUUAGCCCGUUGAGGGCAUAAAUGUGAUAUAUGUGUAUAUUGUGAUUGAUACCACGAGAGAGUGGUGAUAUAUUUGUGAUGCACGAUUUGAGAU